UGGGGAAUUUUGGACAAUGGGGGAAACCCUGAUCCAGCCAUCCCGCGUGUGCGAUGAAGGCCUUCGGGUUGUAAAGCACUUUUGGCAGGAAAGAAACGUCAUGGGUUAAUACCCCGUGAAACUGACGGUACCUGCAGAAUAAGCACCGGCUAACUACGUGCCAGCAGCCGCGGUAAUACGUAGGGUGCAAGCGUUAAUCGGAAUUACUGGGCGUAAAGCGUGCGCAGGCGGUUCGGAAAGAAAGAUGUGAAAUCCCAGAGCUCAACUUUGGAACUGCAUUUUUAACUACCGGGCUAGAGGGUGUCAGAGGGAGGGGGAAUUCCGCGUGUAGGAGUGAAAUGCGUAGAUAUGCGGAAGAACACCGAUGGCGAAGGGAGCCUCCUGGGAUAACACUGACGCUCAUGCACGAAAGCGUGGGGAGCAAACAGG
rnacentral:rRNA from 1 species